rnacentral:rRNA from 1 species
UACGUAGGGUGCAGGCGUUAAUCGGAAUUACUGGGCGUAAAGCGUGCGCAGGCGGUUUGCUAAGACAGGUGUGAAAUCCCCGGGCUUAACCUGGGAACUGCGCUUGUAACUGGCAAGCUAGAGUGUGGCAGAGGGGGGUGGAAUUCCAGGUGUAGCAGUGAAAUGCGUAGAGAUCUGGAGGAACACCGAUGGCGAAGGCAGCACUCUGGGACGUGACUGACGCUGAGACGCGAAAGCGUGGGGAGCAAGUAGG